rnacentral:rRNA from 1 species
AUUGAACGCUGGCGGCAUGCCUUACACAUGCAAGUCGAACGGUAACAGGUCUUCGGAUGCUGACGAGUGGCGAACGGGUGAGUAAUACAUCGGAACGUGCCCGAUCGUGGGGGAUAACGAGGCGAAAGCUUUGCUAAUACCGCAUACGAUCUACGGAUGAAAGCGGGGGAUCUUCGGACCUCGCGCGGACGGAGCGGCCGAUGGCAGAUUAGGUAGUUGGUGGGAUAAAAGCUUACCAAGCCGACGAUCUGUAGCUGGUCUGAGAGGAUGAUCAGCCACACUGGGACUGAGACACGGCCCAGACUACUACGGGAGGCAGCAGUGGGGAAUGUUGGACAAUGGGCGAAAGCCUGAUCCAGCCAUGCCGCGUGCAGGAUGAAGGCCUUCGGGUUGUAAACUGCUUUUGUACGGAACGAAAAGCCUCUUUCUAAUAAAGAGGGGUCAUGACGGUACCGUAAGAGUAAGCACCGGCUAACUACGUG